rnacentral:lncRNA from 1 species
UGGGAAGGCCGUGAAUUCAUGCAGCAGGGGCAGUGCCUUCAACCCUGCACCAAAUGCUGAAAUUUGAGUAUGAAAAUCAGGAGAUUGUAGUUCAUGGAGAGGACGAUUAAUCAAUUUACGGGGACCUCUCUGUCCCCUGUCUAAAAUCCAAGUAAGGUAGUAAACACAUAGUCUAUCAAGCUUUUGAAGUUAGCACUUAAAAUCUUAAAUUGUAAACCCUGUUUAUCUUUCAAGUUCAAAGAAAUAAAACCAAUAUUUUCAUUUCUCCGCCUUUCUCUGAUUUUUGUCUUUCUUUAUUUUUCAUCUUUCCUUUCAGUCCCAAUAAGGCGACAUUAAAUAAAACGACAUGCUCGCGGACUUCUUGCCACGACCCAAACCUGCUUCCUAUCUUUGAAAUAAUGACCCGGGAACCGGAUUACGAUGAAGAAGAGGCUUUUGGCAAAUCACUCGAGAAUUGGAACACUUUGAGAACAAACCUAAGCCUAACUUAAAUUAUACUGAACCGGUUAACCUGGGCGAUCUCAAUGAAAUCAAAGAAACUAAAAUAAGCAUCCACGUAAAUAAAGAGAUACGUGAUUCGUUGGUUCAACUCUUGUUUGAAUUCAAGGACGUAUUUGCGUUGUCAUAUGAUGACAUGCCUGGUCUGAGUAUGGAUUUGGUGGUUCAUAAGUUUCCUACAUACCCCGAAUGCCCUCUAGUACAACAAAAGCAAAAAAAGUUCAAGCCAAAAGUGAAUGAUAAAAUCAAAGAGGAAAUUACAAAAUAUCUUGAAGCACGGGUAAUCCGGGUAGUUCGGUACACCACAUGGCUGGCUAAUGUGGUCCCUGUGCCAAAGAAGGAUGGGAAAACUCGAGUGUGUGUGGAUUAUAGAGAUCUGAAUAAGGCAAGUCCCAAGGAUAACUUCCCUUUACCCAACAUCCACAUCAUCUCGAUAAUUGUGCCAAACAUGAGAUUCAAUCCUUUGUAGACUGCUAUGUGGGGUAUCACCAAGUGCUGAUGGAUGAGGAAGAUGUGGAGAAAACUGACUUCACCAUAGUCUAGGGAACAUAUUGUUAUAGAGUUAUACCUUUUGGAUUGAAAAACGCUGGGGCAACCUACAUGAGGGCUAUGACCACCAUCUUCCACGACAUGAUGCAAAGAGAAAUAGAGGUAUAUGUGGAUGACGAGAUUAUCAAAUCUAAAACUCAGGGCGAUCAUGUAAAGGACUUGAGAAAAUUCUUCGAAAGGCUCCGCAUAAAUAGAGGUAUACAUGGAUGACAUGAUUAUCAAAUCUAAAACUCAGGACGAUCAUGUAAAGGAUUUCAGGAAACUCUUCGAAAGGCUCCGCAAAUAUAAUUUGAAAUUGAAUCCGGCAAAAUGCGCAUUUGGAGUUCCUUCGGGCAAACUUCUUGGGUUCAUCGUCAGUCGGAGAGGCAUUGAAUUAGAUCCAACCAAGAUUAAAUCCAUAUGGGAGCUGCCCCCGCCAAAGACCAAAAAUGAUGUGAUGAGUCUAUUGGGGAGCCUAAAUUACAUCAGGUGGUUCAUCGCCCGAUUGACCUCAACAUGUGAUCCUAUAUUCUAACUGCUGAAGAGGAUGCAGCAAUUAAGUGCAUGGUCGAGUGUCAGGAACUUUUGAUAAAAUCUAACAAUACUUGUCAAAUCCACCAGUUUUAGUUCCGCCAGAACCAGGAAGGCCAUUGUUUCUCUAUCUGACGGUCUUAGAAGGCUCUUUCGGUUGUAUUAUUGGGCAUCAUGACGCCACGGGAAAGAAAGGGCAGGCCAUUUAUUAUUUGAGCAAAAAUUUCACCGGCUACGAGGCCAAGUACACAUUGUUGGAAAGAACGUGUUGCGCCUUGACAUGGGUAGCUCAAAAGCUAAGGCACUAUCUGCAAGCUCACACCAUGUACCUCAUAUCUAGGCUGGACCCAUUAAGGUACAUAUUUCAAAAGCCAAUGCCCACAGGGCGAGAGGCUAAAUGGCAGAUCCUGCUGACCGAGUUAGACAUCGUCUAUGUCACUCGUACGGCGAUGAAAGCUCAGUCAGUGGCAGAUGACCUAGCAGAAAACCCCGUUGAUGACAAAUAUCAGCCUUUAGACACUUACUUCCCUGACGAAGAAGUAAACUCAUUGGAAAUAGCAGCUAAGAAACUCCCGUCUGGAAAAUGUUCUUCAACGAAGAGGCAAACACAAAUGGGGUAGGAGUCGUGGCAAUCUUCAUGCCACCCACAAGCCAGCAUUAUCCAGCUACAGGCAGACUGCGAUUCUUUUGCACUAACAAUACAGCUGAAUAUAAGGCUUGCAUUAUGGGCAUGAACAUGGCUAAUAACCAAGAGAUCGAAGAGUUGCUAAUCAUGGGGGAUUCCGAUCUAAUCAUCCGGCAAGCUCAAGGAGAAUGGGAGACAAGAGACAUUAAGCUCCUCCCGUAUAGACAGCAUGUCAAAGACCUCAACAAACGGUUCAGGUCGGUAGAGUUCAGGUACAUUCCCGUUGUCACAAUGAGUGAGCAGAUGCCCUCACAACUUUAGCUUCCAUGUUGCCAUACCAUGGGAAUGGCUAUGUCGAUCCGCUACAAAUCCAAAUCAAAGAAAAACAUGGGUAUUGUAAUGCAACCGAAGUAGAGCCUAACCCACAACCUUCAUAUUACGACAUCUUGAGAUUCCUAAUGACACAUGAGUACCCUGAGGAAGCUAUAGGAGAACAAAAGAAGACCAUCCGAUGGCAUGCGAGCAAUUUCUUCUUAAGUGCUGACACUUUGUAUAAAAGGACUCUGGAUCUUAAUUUGUUGAGAUGUGUGGACGCCGAAAAAGCUGGGAGAAUUAUGCACAAUGUACAUGCGGGCAUAUGUGGCCCCCAUAUGAAUGGCUAUGUAUUGGCAAAGAAGAUACUCCGAGCUGGUUAUUAUUGGAUGACCAUGGAGAAAGACUGCUUCAGCUAUGUACGGAAAUUUCAUCAAUGCCAGGUGCACGACGAUCUGAUUCAUGCACCACCAAAUCAGUUGCAUCCUAUCUCGGCACCCUGGCCAUUUGCUGCCUAGGGAAUGGACGUCAUUGGAUCAAUCGAGCCAAAGGCGUCAAACGGGAACAGAUUUAUAUUGGUCGCCAUUGAUUAUUUCACAAAAUGGGUUGAGGCCAUCUCCCUCAAGUCUGUUACCAAGAAAGCGGUGGUGGAUUUCGUGCAUUCCAACAUCAUUUACCGCAUUGGGAUCCUGGCUACCAUCAUUACUAACAAUGCAGCUAAUCUAAACAGUUGGCUGAUGGGGAGAUAUGUGAACAAUUACAAAUAACACAUAGAAACUCCACUCCCUACCGACCUAAAAUCGAAUGGUGCGGUAGAAGUAUACAAAAAGAACAUUAAGAAAAUCUUGAGGAAAAUGAUUCAAAGCUCGAGGUAGUGGCACGAAAAGUUGCCUUUCGCAUUGAUGGAAUAUCGUACUACAGUACGUACAUCUAUAGAGGCCACUCCAUAUUUGCCGGUCUAUGGAACUGAGGCUGUUACACCUGCCGAGGUAGAAAUCCCUUCACUCCGAGUGAUUGUUGAAGCAGAAAUCGAAGAUAUUGAAUGGGUCAAAACCCGAUUGGAGUAGCUUGCAUUAAUUGACAAAAAACGAAUGGACGAUGUGUGCCACGAGCAAUUGUACCAACAAAGAAUGACCCACGCCUAUGACGACAAAGUGCGCCCUAGGAAUUUUGAAGUCGGGCAGCUGGUUUUGAGAUGGAUACUUCCCCAUCAUCCGGAGGCCAAAAGAAAAUUCGCCCCAAAUUGGAAAGGCACGUACAUUAUCAGGAAGAUAUUGCCUAGAGGGGCAUUGUACUUGGGCGACGUUGAAAGAGACGAGCCCGAGGCAGCGGUGAAUGCCAACGCAGUAAAAAGGUAUUAUGUCUAAAAUCCCCUAAAGCAAUUACCCCGGUGGAUCUAUUCCCGUCCUCUUUGUAAUUCAAAACAAAGAGAGAAAAGAAAAUAAAAAAAAAAGAAGAAAAGAAAAUGCAAAAGAAAACAAAACAAAACAAAAAAGACAAAACAAAACAAAAAAAAAGAAGAAAAAAAAGAAACAAAAAGAGAAGAAGAGAAGAGAAUACAAAACAAAAUUAGUUUAUGAAACAUUUCCUGAACUACGUCUGACUUGAUUCCGAAAGGAUACUUAGGCAGCCUCUCCCUGAGGUCCAGCCACAUCAAAAUAAAAACCUCAUUUACCCAGAAAAUUAAAACUGGGCAGAAAUGUAUCAGUUCGGUUACAAAUCCUUCCAAAUGGUUACAAAGUCAUAGAUCCCCGGGAAAGAAAAUACCAUUUGUUGGGGUUCGGCAUCAAUCAAAUUUGUGAGAAAAAUAAAUGAGAGAGUCUUAUUGGUGAAAACCUCUAGCACUAUAAGGCGAUGGUGAGUAGAGAAAAACAAAUGAGAGUGUGUUUAGCAAAAACUCGCAAAGAGCGCUAUCGGGCGACGGGAGAAGAGAAAUGAGAGAGGCCGAUUGGCGAAAACACGCAAUGGGCGCCGUUGUCCAAAAAGAGGAAAUAGUGCUGCCUGGAUAUGAGAAUGUUUCUUUAAUUUUCGAAAGUUGAAGUCAGAAAGCUGAAAUGGAUUUGGGCUGGGUAUCCAGUCCAAGAAGCAUGUCGUCGCCAUAUAAAGCCGGCUCGUAUUUUCAGAUAAGUUCCCCCUUUUUCCUUCAAAGUGCAUACCUCUCUAAAUUCAUACUUCACUCCUUUCCACUUUAACUUCCUCGCCGUUCCUUAAAGAAAGGUGUUGAAACACGUUCUCAAGGCACUAAACUAAACGUGUGUUCAUAUUUGUAGGUUUUGAUAAAUGACAAACGAUGCGCAAUUGACAUAUGAUCACUCCUUUCCACUUUAACUUCCUCGCCAUUUCUUAAAGAAAGGUAGCAGGGCCAGCUUCGCGGUUUUAUCCUGGCAAGAAUUAGGGAAGUGACCGACAUCGUCAAGUAUUUUUGGUCAAUCCCAUUUGAUCAUGACAGUUAAUGGAUCAGGGUAAAGAAAUAGGAGAAGGAAAUUCAAAGUCAAAAGGCAUGAAAUUGAAGAAAAAUCGAGGGGUUUUAAGCCGAACAGGGUGUCAAUUCUUAUAGAAAGUCCCAAAAGUAAAUGCAAAAGCGGGACAAAACUCAUAACUCAACGCCCGAGAAGCAAAAACCAAUCCGAAAUGAGGACCCCCUAGCCAACUAAGCAAGGACGAAAAGCCGAGGGUUCGUUUUUGAAUACAAAGGAAGCUGAAAUCAAGCGUCACAAGGCCGCAAAAUCAAUCACUGUUCAAACUAACACUUUUGUUUUGUUUCUGGACUAAAAUAGGUGCAGUCGCAACUUAGCAAAACAAAAGGAACAUGAGGCAAAACCAACCAAGGAUAGGCACAAGGACCAAAGGUGCUGAUGCGUCACUGACCAAAGGGAAGUGUUCUUUUCAUUUUUUCUGCAAACUCGUAAAUGAGCAUGACAACACGAGAUCCCGAUCCCUAGUUCCCCUUUUAUAGCUUGUGGACUUCCUAGGAAUUACCAAAGGAUCGCAUUCCACCCCCUCUACUAUAAACCGAGGAAGUUUCCUUUCACAUCCUCAGCAUAACCUGAGGAUCUUCUCCCUACACUUCUUACUCCCCAGCGUAGUCUAGGAAUUAAUACUCCCCUACCCUUAGCAUAACCUAAGAGUUAUUCCUUUCCUCCUCUAUCCCCAACAAAGCCAAAAGGAUCUCCGAGGUCCUUCGGUGCCUUGCAUAUUUCCUAGCAUAACCCAGGAACCUUUUUCAUUCAUCCUGUCAUAACCCGUGGAUCUCCCUGGCAUAACCCAGGAAUCAUUUUUUGUUUUCAUCUCGGCAUAACCCCUGGAUGUUUCCUUUCAUCCAUAGCAAGGACCCUUCAUUUUCAUCCCGGCAUAACCCGCGGAUUCCCCUGACAUAACUCAGGAUCUGCUUUCAUCCCGGCAUAACCCGUGGAUCUCCCUAGCAUAACCUAGGACCUUUCAUUCAUCUGACAUAACCCGUGGAUCUCCCUAGCAUAACCUAGGACCUUCCAUUCAUCCAAGCAUAACCCGCGGACCACCCUAGCACAACCUAGGAUUUAUCCCUCAUCCCGGCAUAAAUCGUGGAUUCCCCAUACAUAACUCAGGAUCUCCCUUCAUCCCGACAUAACCCGGGGAUUUCCCUGAUAUAACUCAGGAUCUCUUUCGUCCCGGCAUAACCCGUGGAUUCCUCUAACAUAACUAAGGAUUUUCCUUUUAUCCCGGCAUAACCCACAGAUCUCCCUAGCAUAACCUAGGAUUUCUCACUCAUCCCGGCAUAACCGGUGGAUUCCCCUGACAUAACUCAGGAUCUCUUUUCAUCCCGGCAUAACCCGUGGAUUCCGCUAACAUAACUCAGGAUCUCCCUUCAUCUCGGCAUAAACCGUGGAUUCCCCUGACAUAACUCAGGAUCUCUUUUCAUCCCGGCAUAACCUGUGGAUCCCCCUGGCAAAACCCAGGAACCUUUUUUAUUCAUCCCGGCAUAACCCGCGGAUCUCCCUAGCAUAACCUAGGAUUUCUCCCUCAUCCCAACAUAACCCGCAGAUUUCCCUAGCAUAACCUAGGAUUCCUCACUCAUCCCGGCAUAACCCGUGGAUCCCCCUAGCAUAACCUAGGAUUGCUCUUUCAUCCCCGCACAACCCAUGGGUGUUUCCUUUCAUCCCCAGCAGGGAAUCUUCAUUAUCAUCCCGGCAUAACCCGCAGAUUCCCCUGGCAUAACUCAGGAAUUUCUUCAUAACCCAUCCUCAGCAGGAACUUUCCUAUCCUGGCAUAACCCGCGGAUUUCUUCUUUCUCUCCCCAUAGAGACCUUUUCAUUCUUAUCCCGGCAUAACCCGAGGAUUCCCAUUUUAUUCCCCAACAGGAACCACUUCUCCUCUCCAGUAUAACCUGGCGAUCUUUCCGAGGGAUACACAAUUCUGAUCCUUAUUGUCUUAAUAAAGAGUAGCAUAGAUGUGUGUUACAAAUAACUCACAAAAUUUUCCAGUGAAAACUGGGGCAAAAUACUUUGUUCGUUUGCUUGUUUUGCUUUCUGAGCAGGUGUCACCUUUAGGCACAAGAUCCGGCAUAAUUGAAAGCAUGAGUGUCAAUUCAGGACAGAAGAAAGAAAAAAGAGACAAAAGGUGAACUCAAAGUGAUGAGGCACACAAAGACACGUACUGCUCAAAAUAUAAUUGAAAUCACAAGCUCAGCAUACCUUGUUUUGUUUCAAGAUUGAAGAUUGAGCUAGCAGCUGCAAUUAACGAGCAUCAAGAUUCAGAUCGGAGUCUACCGCAAAAGAUAGCCGAGACUCAAGAUCGAGCUUCAAGAGACUCAUAGAUAGGAAUCUAGUAACUUGUAGUUGAUAGAUUCAUCUAGCUUAGUUUUGAUUUUCAUUCGGUGUAAUAAGGAGUUUAGUAAAUCAAGCUUCAAGAGACUCAUAGAUAGGAAUCUUGUAACUUGUAGUUGAUAGGUUCAACUAGUUUAGCUUUUGAUUUUCUUUUGGUGUAAUAAGGAGUUUAGCAAGUAGAAAUAGCAACAACAACAGCCAAUCACAGUCUUUCGGUAGUCCCAGCUACCAAAAGUUCAAGAACUACACUCCCCUGAUUCCUUUAUUGCUAAAGAUAUGUAGGCAACCUUUGAAGCAAGGUUCAGUCAGAAAUUUUUCAAAAUGCUUCACGUGGAGUAUUCAAUUAGACAGAAAUCGCUCAUAUUUGCUCACCUGUCUUUGCAAAAAAACCCUUCGUGUUCCAGCGCAAAGAGGGGAAGCUAUGAGCAUAUGAUUUUUGACCGGUCGGAAAAAGCUCCUACAGGACUCUUAAAGAAUAGGAAUAUUCUUUUAAUGUUAGGAUUUUAAUUUUUAGGAUUUAACUGCAUGUGCAUGUUCAUUACUGCAUGUUUAAAAUGGUUUAAGAUUUAAUUGUAGUUUAUUUUUGAUAAUUAGGAAUUUGUUGGUUUUUCUUUUUAAAGAUUAGUAAUUAAUUUAACUUAAAAGAAAAAGAAAAAAAUAUAUGUAUAUAAACAGCCACUCAGGCUGACCACAGUUGGGUCAGACCUGAGUGGCCCAACCUGUCUUUUCCCUUUAAUACAAUACACAACCCAGUCCCAAAUUAUCGCCCCAGUCCAUGUCCACACCCAUUGAACUAAACGACACUGUUUAGAAGCCCCAUCAUCACAGUCGUUGAUCCCCAUCUCAUCCAACGGCCACGGAAGCCUCCCCCAUUUUGUAUACAUAUGUCCAAACACCUCUAAUACACAUAAGAGACCAAACAUUACCUUCCUCGUACCAUCCACCAUCGACCCAACAACUUCUGUUGACCACCCCACUAUCUCUAAUACACAUUAGAGACAAACAAUCCCCUCCUCGUACCGUUCUUCUCCAACCUAACAACACUCAUUGAUCACCCCAGGACUGCCCUUUGACCACCAGCCUACCACCCUACUGCCGACACCGGAAAUUGCCUCACACUGGCGGUCGGCAACCAAAGCUCCCCAUAGCAUCGUUAAACCAUCACGACUUCCCCUAUCUUACCAUGUAAUUAUCUUCUGUCGAACAUAACCCCUUCGUUUCGAAUAUUAUAGGGCCGUCGGAACCACUGUCUCCGGCGACCCUGUUCCAAACCCUCCCACCUUAAGACCCUAGGACCACUAGGAAACCCCUUCCCCGUAGUGCAACCCACUCUCCUCGAAUCCCCUCCCAUCAUCUCAAAUGUUCUCAGAAAGGUUGUCGGAAACCCCAUAUCCGGCGACCCUGUCCCAAAGCCUUCCAAAUUUACACCCUUAAGGCACCUCAACCCCCUCUUUCCAACCAUGCAUGUCACCCCUCUCAAAUCAUCCUGAAACUACUCGAAUUUUGAUUCAAAGGUUACCCCUAAAUCCCAAAACCUGCCAGAAAUGCUUCAAACUCCUCCUAGUCAAUCAUUGCCCCUCUCAAAUCAUCCUAAAAGUUCUCGAAUUGCAAUUCAAAGGUUAACCCUAAAUCCCAAAACCUGCCAGAAAUGCCUCAAACUUCUCCUAGUCAGUCUUUGGUUCCUUUUGACACCAACCAUACCACCCAUGAGUCUCAAACAACCCCAACCACUGAAAAAUUCCAAAUCGGAGACCUUACUGAGGUCUCAGAACCUUGAAAACCCUCUCCUGAGCUUUUAAGUUGAUUAAACACCAUCCUAGGAGGUUCAGAACUAUGUGGAAGGGGUCAAGGUCCAGUUGAAAUUGUUUAAAUGUGAACAAGAAUGAAAAGCUAAGUUUUCUUGCGUAUUUUCAUUUCUUUUUCUUUUGAAAUCUUGAGUUCUUUUAAUAAUUGAUUAGUUUCAGUCUACAUGUCUAAUAGUUGAAGUUCUUUUACUUGAUUUAGUUGUUUGUCUGUUUGUCCACAAGUUCAUCUACUAUAGGUUUCAAUAUUCCUAUGUUUUGUUUGUCACUAGUCUGGAAACCUUCUCGUCGCUGAAGUACUUCAACAUCCUGUUAAAAUUAGCUUUUGAGCGGUGUGAUUCUCAUAACUUGAUGAACUCUAUUGAUUCACUGAUGUUCUGAUUGGUUUGAUUGUUUGUUUAUGCUACUAAAUGCCUGAUCUUUAUUUCAUAAUAGCUUUGGUCCUCAGUGCUGAUAGAUGUAUUCAUUUUCUGGUCAUUUUGAUUUUUUGUGUGUUAAUCUUGUAUAAUGUUUGUGGAAGUCUGUAUUAAGGCAUCUGUGUUAAGCCUUGUUAAUAUAGGCUAAUUCUGAUUUUCAUGAGCCUGUUAGUCUAAAGAGUGACCCAAGUUUGAUUGACCAGGGUCAAUUGUGACUGAACUAGGGUCAAAUAACUGACCAAGGUCAGAUUUCAGGGGGGGGGGGGGUAAUUAGGAAAGGAAGUGAGGGUAUCAGAGGGAUUUGAACAUGUAAAAAACAUGAUAGCAAUCCCUUAGAACCUUCUAGCAAGGGCUAAAACAUAAUUCUUGCCUAAAAAUUGAGGCACAAGUUAGGAAUUGAAGGACUACUUAGGCAAAUUGCAAUUUGAGUUAAGGACUAAAAAGAAAACAAGGCAAAAUCUGAUGCCCUAAAAGCUUUAUUGUAAAAUGAAUCAGCUGGGCAUUGAAAAGGGAUCCGAAAACCUUCUCUUUGAAUACUAGAGCUGAAAUACUUAUUCCUAUAUAUGCAAAAUACCAUCAGUAUUGUUUGGAUCAUUUUUCUAAAGAUUUAACUCUCUAAAAACUCUACUGAAAUCUGGAUACACUGUUCGAUUGGUUGUUGAUUGCUUAGCUGGUCUCUUAUAUUUACUCAUAGGCUUGUUUCUUCUGCUGCAUUACAUGUACCACUCAAUAUUCAUAUAUAUGACGUUCAAGUGAAAUCUAUUCCCAAAUGUGAAGAUCUCAGUUAUCAUUUACAUUUUUUCUAUUUCCCCCAUUUUCCCCUAUUUAGUUUGAAUAUAGGUGUAACAACAAAGUGAUCAUCAUGUUGUAGUGUUAGACUGAUCCAUGUUUGUAAUAAUUUGAUAUUUGGGAUUGUUUCAAUGUGUAAUAAUUGGACAUUCAACUCAAAAUUUUCUUGUAUGUGUUUUAUGUUUGUCAUAAUAUGACAUUUGGGACUAUUUCAAUGUGUAAUAAUUGGACUUUCGACUCAACUUUUUCUUGUAUGUGUUUAAGUAAUAGUCAGUUCCUAUUCUAGUGUAGCUGGUUCAAGUGCUGAUCUUGUGCACCUAGAACUACUAGACUUAGGAAGUAGUAUUUUUAAUAAUCAUGUGAAGAUUAGAAUGCUAUGAAGCAUUUCCGUUCACUUAAAUCUCAGAAUGUUUAGUAAUAGUUUGUUUUUCAAAGUUAUUCCAUGUAGUGUAACCUGAAGCACAAUUGAAUUUCUGAUAUUAGGCUCAUAUACUCUGACUGAUGAGUAUGUGAAUCAUCUGAUUCAAAUCUAUUGUUAGAAAUUAAUAUAAAAAAUGGUUGUUAAUUUUUCCUUCAUAAAUGGGUAGAGAUUCGAUUUUAUAUAUAAUUUCAAACCAAAAUUGGUUAUUAAUAGUUGGACUCUUUCGUUCAAAUCAGUACUGGGCUCAUUCGAGAGGCCCAGUAAGCACCAAAGAAGUUAUAAUAUUACGUGCUUCUGAAUUGGAAGAAUCAAAGGUCCCGGCCAGUCAUGAACCAGGCUCAAUGGUUGUUAGUACAGUGUGCCUUGGGCUGGCACAGAUUUGAGUCCAUGCACACGAUUAGCCGUGAAUGAGGCUAAGUGCAAGUAUUACUUCCCCAAAAAUACACAAUCCAUACGUAGAUUGUUUAGUGUAUUUAUGCACUCGCAAGAGUAGAAAAUGCAACAUGGAUUAGGAUGUCCUAAUAAAAAUAAUGUGAGCCGCGUUGAUUCAAGCAAAUACUAUGUGAUGGUUCCUUAUUCAUUAAAACACAUAGAGAAAUAGGAAGUGUCGUUUAGAAAAUUUCACGGCCUUCCCAUAAAUGCCAAAGACGUAGUUGCUAUAGGCGCGUGUUUAAUAAAAAUACCUUCUUAAAAUUCGGGUGCGCAUUUAUGUGACCCAAAUUCUAUUCUCAAUGGAAUUAAAAUAUGUCUAGAAUUGAUGAAAUACCUUCUUAAAAUUCGGGUGCGCAUUUAUGUGACCCAAAUCCUAUUCUCAAUGGAAUUAAAAUAUGUCUGAAAUAGCGGGUCCAUUUAUGUGACCUGAUUCGUGAUGUGUUUUAGAAACACUGCAAAUUUUCCUAAAACAUAUGUAAAAAGGGGUUAAUAAUCUAAAAUUACGAGUUAACAGGUACAGAAAAUCAUGUUUUAUCCACUUAUAACAAGUUUAAGCAGCCGUGCUAGAACCACGGGAUCCGAGGGUGCUUAACACCUUCCCUCGGGUUAACAGAAUUCCUUACUCAAGAAUUUCUGUUUCGCAGACUCCAUUCGGGAGGUCGAAAAUUUCCUCGAUUUGGGAUGCAAAAUAAACCGGUAACUUUGGGACACUAAAAGCCACGAAUUUCUGGUUCGCGGACUCCAAUUGGGUAGUAGAAAUUUCCUCGAUUUGAGAUUUUGAAAAAAUCGGUGACUUAGGACACUUAAAGCAAAACUUAUCCCAGGGGGCGACUCUUAAAUAAAAUACUUAAUCCCAUUUCGAAUAAUGUCACUUUAAUUGGAAAAACUCCUAUACACGUGUCACCUUUCGGGUUAACCACGUGUAAGCGGUAAAAAGGAGGUGUGACACCAUGUACAUCUUCCUUUGGGGUUUAAAAUGCCGAAAUUCAAGAAGUACGAUGGCCAUGGCGAUCCCAUCGCCCAUCUGAAAAAGUACUGUAAUCAAUUACGUGGAGCCGGCGGGAAGGAAGAGCUCCUGAUGGCGUACUUUGGGGAGAGCCUAGUAGAUAUUGCGUCCGUAUGGUACCUAGAUCAAGACAUUACCCGAUGGCACAUAUGGGAUGACCUUGCCCGGGACUUUGUACGACAAUUCCAGUACAAUAUCGACAUCGCCUUGGAUAGGAAUUCCCUAGCCAAUUUGAUGAAGAAUCCUGCUCGGGACUUUGUAUGAAAAUUCCAAUAUAACAUUGACAUCGCCCCGGAUAGGAAUUCCUUAGCCAAUAUGAAGAAGAAACCUGCUGAAAGCUUCAGAGAGUAUGCUAAUAAAUGGAGAGAGCAAGCAUCUAGGGUGAAGCCUCCUAUGGAUGAACAAAAAUGGUCAUCGUCUUUCUGCAGGCACAAGAGGCAGAUUAUUUUCAGAACAUGAUGUUCGCAAUGGGCAAACCAUUCGCCGAAGCAAUAAAGAUUGGGGAAAUGGUAGAGAAUGGCCUCAAAACAGGGAGGAUUCUAAGUCAAUCUGCCAUAAGAGCCACCUCCCAAGCGAUACAAGGAGGGGCGAGAGGAAUCCCAAGGAACAAGAAAAAAGAGGAAGCAUCCAUGGCAGCCUCUGGGAUGAGGAAGCAGCAAACUCACAGGCAUCCAUUCUUUGAGAGAGUGCCUCAACAUUACUAUCCUCACUGAGACAUGCACUAUGCCCCUCAACCCAACACAGUUAUGAAUGCUCAACCCUUUCCCCGACCUCAACAGCAGAACAAUAGAAAUCAAGCUCCAAGGAAUCAACUUCCUCAAAAUCAUUGCAAUCCCCUCCCUCAGCAAAGUAACUAUCGUCCCAGGGAGCCACCUUGGAGACAGAGAUUCACCAUGAUAGGAGAGUCCUACUCCAUAUUGUUCCCAAAGUUAGUCCAUAUGGGUCUCCUCCAGCCUGUAUCCCUAAAUAGACAGAAUCCUGAAUAACCGUCUUAUCAAAGCCUCCCUCAGAAUCAUUACAAUCCCCGCCCUCAGCAAAAUAACUAUCAUCCCAGGGAGACACCCCGGAGGCAGAACUUCACCCCAAUAGGAGAGUCCUACACCAACAUGUUUCCUAAGCUAGUCCAUAUGGGUCUCCUCCAGCCUGUACCCCCAAACAGACAGAAUCAUGAAUCACUAUCUUAGCAAAGGGGAGUGCGCUGUGCCUACCACUCUGGGGCAGAGGGGCAUGAUACUGAAAUUGCUGGACCUUAAAGCGAGCACUGGAGGACUUGAUUGAUCAAAAGAAGAUAGUUCUAAGAGAUGACGAAGUCCCAAAUGUAACUGAUAACCCGUUACCGGCUCACAACAACGGGCCGGUCAUCGGAAUGAUCUGCGAGGUCAAAGAAUUUGAUCCCGCUCUAAAAGCCAUCAUAACCAUCGCUGAGGCUGAUAGGAAGCCAAAACUCACCCCAAAGAAGAUAGAAGAAAAGAAAACAAACGAAGCCAAGUGCCUUGAAGCAGAAAAUAAGGCUGAGGUUGAAGGUGAUACAACCCCCCCCCCCCUAAAGAGAAAAUACAUACAGGCUGACCACAGUUGGGUCAGACCUGAGUGGCCCAACCUGUCUUUUCCCUUUAAUACAAUACACAACCCAGUCCCAAAUUAUCGCCCCAGUCCAUGUCCACACCCAUUGAACUAAACGACACUGUUUAGAAGCCCCAUCAUCACAGUCGUUGAUCUAAGCCCACCCAAAAAGGUUCGAUCUGAACAAAACUAUGUACAUACCCAAGAAGGCCUAUGUGGUACGGGGAUCGAUUAAGCCAUCGUGCUGAAUGAGCCCGUGGUUAUUGGUUGCAUGCCACAAGAACCCAUCACCAAUCCUUCAGUCGUCCCUUGGAAUUAUCAGGAAACCAUUGUUACAUAUAAGGGCAAAGAAGUCCUCGGGGAAGCCCAAAAGGGAUGUUCAACCAAGAAAUACCUAGACAUGGAAGAGGUUAAUGCCACUACCAAACGUCGACUUCCACCAAAGUAGCCAGUGAAUGCUGAGGAAGCAGAAGCGUUUUUCCAAAAAAUGAAAAUGUCGGAGUACAAAGUGGUAGAGGAUGUCCCACCAAGAAAUACCUGGACAUGGAAGAGGUGAAUGCCACUAGCAAACGGCGAUUUCCGCCAAAGAAGCCAGUGAAUGCUGAGGAAGCAGAAGCCUUUUUCUAGAAAAUGAAGAUGCCGGAGUACGAAGUGGUAGAUCAACUCUGAAAAUCCCCUGAACAGAUUUCUCUACUGUCACUCUUGAUGAAAUCUCCCGAGCAUCAACAGGUGUUGGCCAAGACAUUAAACAAAGCUUAUAUGACAGCGGAGACCUCUGUAGAAUAGUUAGAGAAAAUUGCGGAGAGAUUCUUCGCUCUCAAUCAAAUAAUUCCAGCUAAGACCUCUGUAGAACAGCUAGAGAAAAUGGCGGAGAGAUUCUUCUCUAUCAAUCAGAUAUCGUUCAGUAAGAAUGACCUACCCUCGGAGGGAGCUACUCACAACAAGGCUUCGCACCUCAUUGUCAAAUGUAAGAGAUAUUAUGUCAAGAGAGUGGUAGUGGACGGAGGUUCCAGAGUAGACAUAUGCCCACUAUCUACCCUGCAGAGAAUGGAGAUCAGGACAGGGAGGAUUCCCCCUAACAACAUAUAUGUCCGAGCCUUUGAUGGAAUUAAAAGGGAUAUCAUAGGUGAAAUCGAUUUGGUGCUCACCCUUGGUCCAGUCGACUUUGAAGUAACAUUCCAGGUGUUGGACAUGGACACCUGCACCAAAUGCUGAAAUUUGAGUAUGAAAAUCAGGAGAUUGUAGUUCAUUGAGAGGACGAACAAUCAAUUUACUGGGACCCCUCUAUCCCAUGUCUAGAAGCCAAGGAAGGGAGUGAACACAUAGUCUAUCAAGCUUUUGAAGUCGUAGUAGCUUAUCAGCAUGAAGAGGGCAAGCCGCUUUCUUAGCCUUUCCUGUCAAAUGCUUUAAUUAUGGUCGCAAACAAAAUGAUGCGCCAAGGCUUCAAGCCAUGCAAGGGACUCGGAAGCUCCCUACAAGGCAUAAUCGAGCCAAUCCCCUUGCCUUCCACAGAAAAGUUCUUUGGACUGGGAUUAAUUAUGGCACAAAGGAAAUGACGCGCCAAGGCUUCAUGUCAAGCAAGGGACUCGAAAGCUCUCUACAAGGCAUAACCGACCACUCGCCUUUCCUGCCACAGAAAAGUUCUUUGGACUGGGAUUUCAUCCAACCUCAGAAGAUAUCCCCUGGACUAAUCGCAGAAAGCACCAAGGAUGGACCUUACCACGACCCCUGCCUCAUUGGUACAAAACCUUCAUAAAACCAAAGCACGGUGAAGAAGAGGAAGAGAAACCUUCACGGCUGAAGAAAUCAAUGAAAUCAAUAUUUUUCAUUUCUCUGUCUUUCUCUGAUUUUCGUCUUCCUUUAUUUUUCAUCUUUUUCAGCCUCAAUAAUGCGGCUUUAAACAAAAAGACAUGCUUGUAGACUUCUUGCCACGACCUGAACCCGCUGCCCGUCUGUGAAAUAACAAACCAAGAGUCGGAAUAUAAUGAAGAAGAGGCUUUUAGGGAAAUCACUCGAGAAUUGGAACACUUUGAGAACAAACCUAAGUGCAACUUAAAUGAUACUGAACCGAUUAACCUGGGCGAUCUCGAUGAAACCAAAGAAACAAAAAUAAGCAUCCACGUAAAUGAAGAGAUACGGGAUUCAUUGGUCAACUCAUGUUAGAAUUCAAGGACGUAUUUGCAUGGUGCUAUGAUAACAUGCCUGGUCUGAGUAUGAAUUUGGUGGUUCAUAAGUUGCCUACAUACCCCGAGUUCCCCCCAGUACAACAAAAGCAAAGAAAGUUCAAGCCUGAUGUCAGUGAUAAAAUCAAAGAGGAAAUUNNNNNNNNNNNNNNNNNAGCCAAAAGGAUGAAGAAGAUGCUGAGAAAACCGUCUUCACCACACCUUGGAGAACAUAUUAUUAUAGAGUAAUGCCUUUUGGAUUGAAAAAUGCUGGGGCAACCUACAUGAAGGCUAUGACCACCAUCUUCCACGACAUGAUGCAUAGAGAAAUAGAGGUAUACGUGGAUGAAGUGAUUAUCAAAUAUAAAACUCAGGGCGAUCAUGUAAAGGAUAUGAGGAAAAUCUUCGAAAGGCUCCGCAAAUAUAAUUUGAAAUUGAAUCCGGCAAAAUGCGCAUUUGGAGUUCCUUCAAGAAAACUUUUGGGGUUCAUCGUCAGUCGGAGAGGCACUAAAUUAUAUCAAACCAAGAUCAAAUCCAUUCAAGAGUUGCCCCCGCCGAGGCCAAAAAAGGAUGUGAUGAGUCUAUUAAGGCGAUUAAAUUAUAUCAGCCGAUGCAUCGCCCAAAGUUCCGCCAAAACCAGGAAGGCCAUUGUUUCUCUAUCUGACGGUCUUGGAAGGCUCUUUCGGUUGUAUACUCGGGUAGCAUGACGCCAUGGGAAAGAAAGAGAAGGCCAUUUAUUAUCUGAGAAAAGCGUUUACCGGCUACGAGGCCAAGUACACACUGUUGGAGAGAACGUGUUGCGCCUUGACAUGGCUAGCUCAGAAGCUGAGGCAUUAUUAACUCAUACGACGUACCUCAUAGCCAGGCUGGAUCCACUAAGGUACAUAUUCCAAAAAGCAAUGCCCACAAGGCGACUGGCCAAAUGGCAGAUCUUGCUUACCGAGUUCGACAUUGUUUAUGUCACUCGUACGGCGAUNNNNNNNNNNNNNNNNNNNNNNNNNNNNNNNNNNNNNNNNNNNNNNNNNNNNNNNNNNNNNNNNNNNNNNNNNNNNNNNNNNNNNNNNNNNNNNNNNNNNNNNNNNNNNNNNNNNNNNNNNNNNNNNNNNNNNNNNNNAGCAGAAAACCCCGUUGAUGACGAGUAUCAGCCUUUAAACACUUACUUCCCUGACAAAGAAGUGAACUCAUUGGAAAUAGCAGUUGAGGACACCCCGUCUGGAAAAUGUUCUUCGGUGGAGCAGCAAAUGCAAAGGGCGUAGGGAUCGGGGCAAUCCUAAUCUCACCUACAAGAUAACAUAAUCCAGCUACAGCCAGACUUCGUUUCUUUUGCACCAAUAAUACCACAGAAUAUGAGGCUUGCAUCAUGGGUAUGAAUAUGGCUAUUAACCGAGAUGUCGAAGAGUUGCUAAUCAUGGGGGAUUCCGAUCUAAUCAUCUGAAAAGCUCAAGGAGAAUGGGAGACAAGGGACAUUAAGCUCCUCCCGUAUAGACAGCAUGUCGAAGACCUCAACAAAUGGUUCAGGUCGGUACAGUUCAGGUACAUUCCCACUUGUCACAACGAGUUAGCGGAUGCACUUGCAACCAUAGCCUCCACGCUGCCAUACCCUGGGAAUGCCUAUGGUGAUCCAUUACAAAUCCAAAUCUGAUAAAGACAUGGGUAUUGUAAUGAAACCGAAGCAGAGCCUAGCCCACAACCUUGGUAUUACGACAUUUUGAGAUUCCUAAAGACACAGGAGUACCCUGAGCAAGCCACAGGAGAACAAAAGAAUACCAUCCGACGGCAUGCGAGCAACUUCUUCAUAAGUGGUGACACUUUGUAUAAAAGAACUCCGGAUCUUAAUAUGUUGAGAUGUGUGGAUGCCGAAGAAGCUGGGAGAAUUAUGCACGAAGUACAUGCGGGCGUAUGUGGGGCCCAUAUGAAUGGCUAUGUAUUGGAAAAGAAGAUACUCCAAGAUGGUUAUUGUUGGAUGACCAUGGAAAAAACCUGUUUCAGCUUUGUACGAAAAUGUCAUCAAUGCCAGGUGCACGGUGAUCUGAUUCAUGCACCGCCAAAUGAGUAGUAUCCUAUGUCAGCACCCUGGCCAUCUGCCGCUUGGGGAAUGGACGUCAUUGGGCCGAUCGAGCCAAAAGCCUCAAGUGGGCACAGAUUUAUGUUGGUCGCUAUUGAUUAUUUCACAAAAUGGGUUGAGGUCAUCACCCUCAAGUUUGUCACCAAGAAAAAGGUGGUGGAUUUCGUGCAUUCCAACAUCAUUUGCUGUUUUGGGAUCCCGGCUACCAUCAUUACUGACAACGCAGCUGAUCUAAACAGUCAGCUGAUGGGAGAGAUAUGUGAACAAUUCAAAAUAACACAUAGAAACUCCACUCCUUACCGACCUAAAGCUAAUGGUGCAGUCGAAGCAGCCAACAAGAACAUCAAUAAGAUCUUGAGGAAAAUGAUUCAAAGUUCGAGGAAAUGGCAUGAAAAGCUGCCUUUCGCAUUGAUGGGUAGUCGAAGCAGCCAACAAGAAAAUCAAGAAGAUUUCGAGGAAAAUGAUUCAAUGCUCGAGGCAAUGGCAUGAAAAGUGGCCUUUCGCAUUGUUGGGAUAUCGUACCACAGUACGUACAUCUGUAGGAGUAGCCCCCUAUUUGCUGGUCUAUGGAACUGAGGCUGUUAUACUUGCCGAAGUGGAAAUCUCUUCGCUCCAAGUGAUUGUAGAAGUAGAAAUCGAAGAUACUGAAUGGCCGCAGUAUGCCACGGGUAGUCGUACCAACAAAGAAUGGCCCGCGCCUACAACAAGAAAGUGUGCCCUUGGAAUUUUGAAAUCGGGCAACUGGUUUUGAGACGGAUACUUCCCCAUCAUCAGGAGGCCAAAGAAAAAUUCUCCCCAAAUUGGAAAGGCCCAUACAUCAUCAGGAAGAUAUUUCCUGUGGGAGCAUUGUACUUGGGCGACGUUUAAGGAGACGAGCCCGAAGAAGCGGGAAACGCAGACGCAGUUAAAAGGUAUUAUGUUUAAAUCCCUUGCAACAAUUACCCCGGUGGAUCGAAAGGACGAAGGUUUUAUUCUCCCGCUAUCCCCCACCGUCUUUGUAACCCAGAAAGAAAGGAAAGAAAAUUCAAAAAAAAAACCACAAAAAAACAAAGAACAAUCUAAAAUAAGGACCCCAUGUCCAAUUGACAAAGCAAGGAUUGAAAGCCAAGGGUUCGCUUUGAAUACAAAGGAAGUCGAGAUCAAGCGUGACAAGGCCGCAAGACCAAUCACUGUUCAAACUAACAGUUUGUUUUGUCUCUGAACCAAAAUAAAUGCAGGUGCAACUUAGAGAAGCAAAAAGGAACAUGGGGCAAAAACAACCCAAGGGUACACGCAAAGGUGGUGGUGCGUCAAUGACAUAAAGGAAGUUUUCUUUUCCUUUUUCUGCAAACUAAUAAAUGAGCAUGACAGCACGAGAUCCCAAUCCAUAAUUCCCCUUUGUAUAGCUUGUGGACUUCAUAGGCAUUACCUAAGGAUCGCAUUCCACCCCUUCCAGCAUAAAUCGAGGAAGUUUCCCUUCACAUCCCCAGCAUAACCUGAGAACUCCUCCCCUAUACUCUCCACUCCCCAGCAUAGUCUAGGAGCUAACGCUACUACGCCCUAAGUUAUUCCUCUCUUCAUCUAUCCCCAGCACAAUCAAAAGGAUCUCUGAGGUCCUCCGCUACCCUGCAUAUUCCCCUAGCAUAACCUAGGAUUGUGCAUUCAUCCCGGCAUAACCCGUGGAUUCCCCUGACAUAACUCAGGAUCUCUUUUCAUCCCUAGCAUAACCUAGGAUUUCUCACUCAUCCCGUCAUAACAUGUGGAUUCCCCUGACAUAUCUCAGGAUCUCUUUUCAUCCCGGCAUAAUCCGCGGAUUCCCCUAGCAUAACCUAGGAUUUUUGUUUCAUCCCGGCAUAACCCGUGGAUCCCCCUAGCAUAACCAAGGAUUUCUCAUUCAUCCCGGCAUAACCCAAGGAUAUCCCUAGCAUAACCUAGGAUUUAUCAUUCAUCCCGGCAUAACCCGAGGAUAUCCCUAGCAUAACCUAGGAUUUUUUUAUUCAUCCCGGCAUAACCCGUGGAUUUCCCUGACAUAAUUCAGGAUCUAUUUUCAUCCCGGCAUAACCCGUGGAUCUCCCUAGCAUAAACUAGGAUAUCUCUAUUAUCCCGUCAUAAACCGUGGAUUCCCCUAGCAUAACCUAGGACUUUUCAUUCGUCCCGGCAUAACCCGUGGAUUCCCCUUGCAUAACCUAGGAUUUUUCAUUCGUUCCGGCAUAACCCGGGGAUUCCCCUAGCAUAACCUAGGAUUUUUCAUUCGUCCCGGCAUAACCCGCGGAUUCCCCUGGCAUAACCCAGGAAUUUAUUCACAACCCAUCCUCAGCAGGAACUUUCCUAUUCCGGCAUAACCCGCGGAGCUUUUCUGUUCCUCCCCACAGAGACCUUUUCAUUCUUAUCCCGGCAUAAACCGAGGAUUCUCAUCUUAUUCCCUAGCAGAAACCAUUUGUCCUCCCUAGAAUAACCUGGCGAUCUUUCCAAGGAAUACACAAUUCCAAUCCUUAUUGUUUAAUAAAGAGUAGCAUGGAUGUGUGUUACAAAUAACUCACGAAAUUUUUCAGUGAAACUAGGGCAAAAAAUUUCGUUCAUUUAUUUGUUUUGUUGUCCGAGCAGGUGUCACCUUAAAACACAAGAUUCGGCAUAAUUGAAGGCAUGAGUGUCAAUUCAGAACAGAAGAAAAGAAAAGAGACAAAAGGUUGAACUCAAAUGAUGAGGCGAAGAAGGAUACGGACUGCUCAAAAUAUAACUAAUGUCACAAGCUCAUCAUAUCCUGUUUUUUUUCAAGAUUGGAGAUUGAGCCAGCAGCUGCAAUUAACGAGCAUCAAGAUUCAGAUCGAAGUUUGCCACGAAAGAUAGCCGAGACUCAAGAUCAAGCUUCAAGAGACUGAUAGAUAGCAAUCUUGUAACUUGUAGUUGAUAGGUUUAGCUAGCUUAGUUUUUCAUUUUCUUUCGGUUUAGCAAGCAGAAACAGCAGCAACAGCAGCCAAUCACAAUCUCCCUGUAGUCCCAGCUACCAAAAUUUUCAUAACUACACUGACCUGAUUCAUUUAUUGCUAAGGAUAUGUAGGCAACUUUUGAAGCAAUGUUCGGUCAGAAAAUUUUCAAAGCGCUUCACAUAGAGUAUUCAAUCAGACGGAAAUUGCUCAUAUUUGCUCACUUGUCUUUGCACGAAAACUCUUUGUGUUCCCGCGCAAAGAGGGGCAGCUGUGAGCAUAUGAUUUUUACCCGGUAGAACCAUGCUCCUACAUGACUCUUUUAGUUUAGGAUUUUCUUUAAAAUAUUAGGAUUUUAAUUUUAGGAUUUAAUUUCAUGCGCAUGUUCAUUAAUGUGUGUUUUAAUAUUGAUUAGGACUUAAUAAAUUUGUUCUACAAAUUAAAAUACAAAAAAAUAUAUGCAUGUCCGACAUUUGAAUUUUUUUGUUUAAUUUUGACUUGGUUUGGUUUUUUAUUUGUGAUAAUUAGGAAUUUGUGGUUGUAAGUAAAGUUAGAAAUUAUUUUUUAAUUAAAAGAAAAAAGACAAAAAAAUAUAUUUGUAUAUAUAUAUAUAUACACAGCCACUCAGCUAGCCACAAUUGGGCCAGACCUGAGUGGCCCAACCUGCUUCACCUUUUGAACAAUGCACAACCCAGCCCAAACCAUCGCCCAGUCCAGUCCACACCCAACGAACCAAACGACACCGUUUUCAAAGAAGGGCUCAUCACAUCCGUCCAUCCCCAUCUCAUCCAACAGCCACGAAACCCCCUUCAUUUUCGUAUACAUAUGUACAAAUGUCUCUAAUACAAUCAAAGAGCAAACACUCUUAUCCUCGCACUGUCUUCUCCGACCUAACAACACCUAUUUUGACCAUCCCUUGACCACCCUUUGACCACCGGCCUACCACCCUAGUGCCGCCAGAAAUCGCCUCACGGCGGCGGCCGACAACCAAACCUCCCCAGAUUAAAAUCGUUAAACUGUCACGACCUCCCCUAUCCCGUCCCGUGGUCAUUUUCCGUCGAACAUGUCCCUUUUGUCUCGAAUCUUCAAAAACAAGNNNNNNNNNNNNNNNNNNNNNNNNNNNNNNNNNNNNNNNNNNNNNNNNNNNNNNNNNNNNNNNNNNNNNNNNNNNNNNNNNNNNNNNNNNNNNNNNNNNNNNNNNNNNNNNNNNNNNNNNNNNNNNNNNNNNNNNNNNNNNNNNNNNNNNNNNNNNNNNNNNNNNNNNNNNNNNNNNNNNNNNNNNNNNNNNNNNNNNNNNNNNNNNNNNNNNNNNNNNNNNNNNNNNNNNNNNNNNNNNNNNNNNNNNNNNNNNNNNNNNNNNNNNNNNNNNNNNNNNNNNNNNNNNNNNNNNNNNNNNNNNNNNNNNNNNNNNNNNNNNNNNNNNNNNNNNNNNNNNNNNNNNNNNNNNNNNNNNNNNNNNNNNNNNNNNNNNNNNNNNNNNNNNNNNNNNNNNNNNNNNNNNNNNNNNNNNNNNNNNNNNNNNNNNNNNNNNNNNNNNNNNNNNNNNNNNNNNNNNNNNNNNNNNNNNNNNNNNNNNNNNNNNNNNNNNNNNNNNNNNNNNNNNNNNNNNNNNNNNNNNNNNNNNNNNNNNNNNNNNNNNNNNNNNNNNNNNNNNNNNNNNNNNNNNNNNNNNNNNNNNNNNNNNNNNNNNNNNNNNNNNNNNNNNNNNNNNNNNNNNNNNNNNNNNNNNNNNNNNNNNNNNNNNNNNNNNNNNNNNNNNNNNNNNNNNNNNNNNNNNNNNNNNNNNNNNNNNNNNNNNNNNNNNNNNNNNNNNNNNNNNNNNNNNNNNNNNNNNNNNNNNNNNNNNNNNNNNNNNNNNNNNNNNNNNNNNNNNNNNNNNNNNNNNNNNNNNNNNNNNNNNNNNNNNNNNNNNNNNNNNNNNNNNNNNNNNNNNNNNNNNNNNNNNNNNNNNNNNNNNNNNNNNNNNNNNNNNNNNNNNNNNNNNNNNNNNNNNNNNNNNNNNNNNNNNNNNNNNNNNNNNNNNNNNNNNNNNNNNNNNNNNNNNNNNNNNNNNNNNNNNNNNNNNNNNNNNNNNNNNNNNNNNNNNNNNNNNNNNNNNNNNNNNNNNNNNNNNNNNNNNNNNNNNNNNNNNNNNNNNNNNNNNNNNNNNNNNNNNNNNNNNNNNNNNNNNNNNNNNNNNNNNNNNNNNNNNNNNNNNNNNNNNNAGUUCAUCUGAAAUAGGUUUCAAUAUUCAUAUGCUUUGUUUGACACUAGUCUGGAAGUCUCUUCGUCUCUUGAAUAAUUGCAUAUCCUGUUAAUAUCAUCUCCUUGAUCUUGAAGGUUUAGUUAAUUCUUCAGUAAUGUGAUUUUUAGGGGUUAAUUGACACCCAUCUUCUUAUUCUAUGAUUUUUGGUUCGCCCCUAAGUAUUUGAUUGCCAUACUGAACUUGAUUUUUUUUAGUAUUGAUGUUGGUUUAAGCUGAUUCGGGAGGUUGGGACCUUUAAUUGUUCAGUGGUAGCAUUUACUUGCUUCCUAAGAUGAUUCCUGAACUAAAUACUCACCCAUUGCUGUGUGUUUCUCAUUGUUAAGUAUUUCUGAAGCAUUUUAAUUGAGGCAUUUCUGAAAACUGAGUGUUGAUAAAUGUAUUCUUUCUUAUGGUCCUUUGUUUUGAUAAUCCUAUAUAAUGUUUGGAUGUGGAAGUCUAUAUUAAGGCAUCUGUAUUGAACCUUGAUAAUUUUGGCUAAUUCUGAACUUUCACAAGUUUGCUAGUCUAAGGACAAACCUUGACCCAUAAUCCAAAUACAAUUGACCAGGGUUAAAGAAUAGCUAAGGUUAAUAAACUUCAGGGGGUAAUUAGGAAAGGAAAUGAGGGUAUAAGAGGGAUUUCCACAUUUAAAAUAAUCCAAUAGUGAUGCCUUAGAACCUUCUAGGAAGGACUAAAACAUUAUUCCUACCUAAAACUUGAGGCACAAGUCAGGAAUUGAAGGACUAUUUAGGCAAAGUGCAAAUUUUAGUUAAGGACUAAAAGGAAAACAAGAGGAAAAUCUGAUGCCCUAAGGCUUUACUGUAAAAAGAACCAUCUAGGCAUUUUUAAAGAGACCUCAGACCCGGAACCUUCUCUUUGAGUACUAAAGCUGAAAUACAUAUUCCUAUAUCUGAAAGUACCAUUAGUGCUAUUUGAAUCAUUUUCUGAAGACCUAAUUCUCUAAAAACUCUGCUGAAGUCCUGGAUGCACUGUGUAUUUGGCUGUUGAUUGCUUAGCUGGUCUCUUCAAUUUAUUCAUAUGCUUGUUUCUCUGAUGCAUUACAGAAUGUUCAUGUAUAUAUGAAGUUCAAGUGAAAGAUAUAUUUCCAAAAGUGAAGAUCUCCAAUUGUUAUAUGUAUUUUGAAUUAUUUCCCCUUUUUCCCCUAUUUAGUUUGAAUAUAGGUGUAAUAAUAAGAUGACUAUCCUGAUGUAAUUUAACUUUUGGACUGAUUCAUUCUGUAAUAACUGGACUUUAGAGACUGACUUAUUUGUAAUAAUCAUGACAUUCAAAGCAUGAAUAGCGUAUAGUAUAGUUCACUAAGUUAUUUAUUCAUUUUAGAUGUUAUUUCCUGCGUGGCUUUAAAUGAAGGACUCAGAAAAUAUUAGCUUAAUAUCUUGUUGAAGUCCAAAUACUGUGUAAUGUUUUAAUCCUUCUAGAUUUCAACACGAUUGUCCAUGCUUGUUUCAGAUCUAUAGGCUGUGACCAAAGACAUAAUUGAAUUUUGAAGAACUAGAUUCAUAUACUCUGACUGACGAGUAUAUGAAUCAUUGGGUUUAGAUCCAAUGUUAAUGUUUUAAAAAACAAUGACUGUUAGUAUUUUCUUUGGGAAUGUGUAUUUUCUUUGGGAAUGUUUUAAUUCAUUUAGAUUUCAACUUUGUAUAUAAUUUUGAACCCAAAACGGUUACUAAAAAUUGGACUCUUUUGUCCAAAUCAACAUUGGGCUCAUUCGUGAGGCCCAGUAAGCACCAAAAUGUUGUAAUCCAACAUGUCUUCUGGGUUGAGUGACUAGAAAACCAAACCAGUCACAACCUAAGCUAUAUGUACUCCUGGGCUGGCCCAAACUUAAUUUAUUAUGUGUAAUUGGCCAUGAACGAGGCUAAGACACAUGUAGUGUUUCCCAAGUACACAUUUUACACAUAAAGUAAUUAAUGUAUUUAAGUACAGCUAUAAUAGAGAACUUAGCACACUUUAGAAUGUCCUUAUCAAAUAAAGUGAGCCACGUUAAUCCCAUCAAACAUCAUGCAAUGGCUCCUUAAUUCAUUAAAAUACAUAGAAAAAUAGGACGGGCCGUUUAGCGAAUUUCACGAUCUUCCCACAAAUCUCGAAGACGUAGUUGCUAUAGGCGCGCAUAUUUAAUAAAAUACCUUCCAAAAUUCAGGUGCAUAUUUAUGUGACCCAAAUCCUAUUCUCAAUGGAAUUAAAAUAUGUCUAAAAUUACGGGUGCAUUUACGUGACGUGAUUCAUGGCGUGUUUUAAUAACAUUGCAAAUUUUCCUACAAAAUAUGUUAAAAGCGGUUAAUAAUCUAAAUUGCGGGUUGACAGGUAUAGCAAAUCAUAUUUCAGCCACUUGUAAUGAGUUUAAGCGACAGUAUUCCUUACUCUAGAAUUUCUGAUUCGCAGGUCUAAUUGGGUAGUCAAAAUUUCCUCGAUUUGGGAUUUCAAAUAAACCGGUAACUUGGGAUACCAAAAGCCAAAUUCAUCCCAAGUAGCGACUCUUGAAAUAAAUAAUUAAUCCCAUCUUGAAUAAUGUCACUUUAAUUGAAAAAACUCCUAUACACGUGUCUCCCUUCGGCGUAACCACGUGUAAGCGGUAAAAAGGAAGUGUGACACAGGCAGGCUUCUUAAUAUUUGCAGGAAUAUCAAACGAGUACGAGUGAUAUUCAGGAGAGUGGUACUGCUCUUGAUGUGUAGCAAAUUAUGACUCAUGAUAAGGUUCUCCUUGGCCAUUAGCCCAUGCUUGACACAUUUUGGUCAUUUGCUGUUUCAGUAUUCUAUUUUCUUCAACCACAGUAGACUCUUGUUGAACCCUCUGACCUUGAAUCUCUCGAGCACUUGUAAGAGCUUCGACGUCAGUUAUCAUUUUUCCUUAAAUCUUGUGCUAUUACUUACCACAAACAGACCAUCUCAAACUUUCUUCACAAUUCUAAACAAAAGACAUGUUAGAAUGGACUCAGUCAGUCUUUAUUAUUAUCUUUUCACUCUUGUUUUUCUUUUCUUCUUCUUCUUUUUUUCCCCUUUUUUUUCUCUUUUUCUCAUUUUCCUUUUCCAUGGUUGAUCGAACCUGCUGUGGGUUGCCUAUGUAUCAUGACACCGUAUGAAUCAGAUCUUGCGUAGUUCGAAAGAUUAGGAAUAAAGAAAUAAAAUAAAUUUAUAUUUUUAUGGAUUUUAAAUUUUCUCUUUUUUUUCACUCUAUUUUUAGAAGAAAGAGUGAUAAAUAAGAAAGAGAAUAUUUCUAGAUUUUGAUUUUUUCCAAGCACUUUUGCAAAUUUAAGACUUCUAAAGAAGAAAGAUUUUUUUUUCUUUUUAUUGCUUUGUUUUUUGGAAUUUCGAAAGAAAUUUUUUUAAAGAAGACAAAAAAAAUAUUUUUGCAUGUAUAGAUUUUUAUUCUGAAGUUAGGAAAGAAGUACUUCUAAGAAAAAGAAAGUAUUUUUUGAAUCUUGAGUUUUCUUUUCAAUUUUCGAAAGAAGAAUGAAAAUACUAUUGAAUUUUUAAUUUUUUUUUUCGAAACUUUGUAAAGAAAACUUCUAAAGAAGAAAGAAAAUAUUUUUUUUUGGAUUUUCGAUAUUUUUAUUAAAUUUUUUAAAAAAAUACUUCUAAAUAAAAGAGAAGAUAUUUUUGAAUCUUGAUUUUUCCUCUGAAUUUUUGAAAGAAGAAUGAAAAUAUUUUUUUUUAUUUUGAGAAGACACUAAAAGAAAAUAUUUUUUUGUAUUUUUUAAUAAUUGAGGUCUCAAAGAAAACUUUCCUAAACAAGGAAGUAAAAGAAAUUUUGAUUUUUGAUUUUUUUGAAAAUUGGGGUCUUAAAAAAGACCUUUUUUAAAAAGUAAAUAUUUUGGACUUUUGUUGAGGGGAUUUUUUAAAAAAAAAUAUGGGUCAUAAAGAAAGACCCCUUUUUUUAUUAAAAGAAAUAAAUAAAAAUAUUUUUAGAUUUUUUAAAAAUUGUGGGCCGGAAUCGAUGAGGUAUCCAAUAUUCGGUGAGAAUCAGACCCGCGUAGUUCUGCCUGAUUUGACGGAAUAGGGAAAACAUGGCACUUGAUAUUUUGACUCAUUUUGAAAUGGCUUUUCAUUUUUUCAGAAUUCCAGCAGAGUUUCAGAAUACUCUAAAUACUUACCUCUCAUAUUUUUUCCGUUUUUUUUUUCCGUUUUUUUCUUUUUGAUUUUCUUCCUCUAUUCUAAAAGCCCAUCAACACGCAAGCCUGAACAGACAGAUAUGCAAGUAGCACGUAAGAUGCAUCAGGAUGGUCUUUUCCAUUUAGGUAAACAUGUCCUAACGGACCCUAAGAUCAAAUGCACAUGAUGCAAACAAACAUUCCUACAACAGAUCCGACAUGAGGCUGAAUUAUUCAAAGUUCAAAACCUGGGUACAUGUUCUACACAGUGUACUCGAGCUGAGGAGGGGGCUACGUACCGGGAACCAAAAGGCCAUCCACAUUAGUAACUUGUCGGAGCCUCUUUCUUAUUUCGAGGUAUGACACUAACAGAAUAAGGAGUCUCGACCAAUGAGCACAAAUGGGAAAAGAAGAGUUUUGUAGAAUUUUUAUAUACAAUUCACAGAAAAUCAAAGCGAUAAAAACAUUUAGCACAUUAAGCUCAAACAUGUAGGACAAUCAGAUAAUAGAUAAAUCCAAUCAUAACAGAUAUUCUAAGCUCGAAUUCUUGAACCCUAAACUAGAGAUUCUGGGUUCGUGCUCCAGCAGAGUCGCUAGAGCUGUCACACCUUCUUUUAAGACUACACCGCAGCGAAGGGCAUAAAUAAGGGAGUUCUUCCAAUUAAUGAACAAUCGAAACGGAAUUUAUUUAUUUUAAGAUUUUAGAGUCACCACUUGGGAUAAUUUAUGGUGUCCCAAGUCACCGGUUUAAAGUCCCAAAUCGAGGAAGGUUUGACUCUGCAAUACAGUUUGCGAGCCAGAAAUUCAUGUAAGGAAUUCUGUUAACCCGGGAGAAGAUGUUAGGCAUUUUCGAGUUCCGUGGUUCUAGCACGGUUUCUCAACUAUUAUAUUUGGCCUAUUUACUUGAUUUUAACACAUGUUUGAACCUAUGGUGCAAUUUUAACCUUUAACCGCUUUUAUUAUUUCAAGAUAAUUGCAACGUUGUUAAAACAUGUCUCGAGCCACGUCACAUAAAUGCAACCGCUGUCUUCGACAUAUCUUAACAUUGUUGGGAUUUAGAUUUGGGUCACAUAAAUGCGCACCCGAAUUUAGGAAGGUAUAUUUUUAAAUAACUCGCCUAAAGAAAUUACGCGUUUAAAUUUGCGAGGACCAUGAAAAUUCGCUAAAUGACGCACCUCGAUGUCUAAGGACAAAACAUUAAUUAAAUUAGGGCCCUGCAUUUAAAAUUUUUGUUUGGCACAGUACGCCUCAAUAUAUUCUAACUAAGAGGUUUUUAAAUUAAAUAUGAGAGCCUUAUUAUAUAUUUUGACUAAUAUGGUACACCUCUAAUCAUUUAAAAGGGUCUUAUUAACAAAAUGAAGUGUCACGGCAAUGAGCACAUUUGACAACGACAAUUAGCUAUACUUACUAAAUAGCUUCUAUCCUCCACCACAUACAAUCAUCACAUGCCACCUAAUGUUGACCAACCCAAACACCAAAAAUAUCAUAGAAAAUAUUUCCUAAACUAAAAUAUUAAUACAUUUUUCCACAUAGCUAACUCACAAGAUCUGGACAAAGGGAAACAUGGAGGAAGAUUAUACUAAUUCAAAUUUUCAAGAAUAUAACAACUAAUUAAUGGGGACGAAAAAAACACACGGAAAAAUAGAUGAAGCUUUGACAGAUAGUUAAGUGAAGCUCCCAAUUAACAAUAAUUAAAAUUUGCAUCAUAACUUACCAAAUCUAACGACAAACCAUGCGUUUCAAGUGAAUCCAAGCCCCUAAACGUUAACACAAUUUUAGUAGUAGACUAUUUCCAAAUUAGUUCUCCAAUAUAUACACUGUUAACAACAGAAAGUCAAAUAACUAGAGCAAUUGCACUACUGCAAGCUAAACACACAAUUAAUCAUUACUCUAAGAACAGACCCAUACAAAAGACAACUCAACAAAAUCUCAAUAUUUAUCAACAUUGUUUCAAACUGAACGAACAAAUUGAUCAUAAAUAAAUAGAUAAGAGUCAGCGACAAAAAUGUUAAACAUUAACCUAAGAAAUGACCAAAUCAUGAUUUAUCUACGUCGAGCAAAAAUUGCAAAGCAGAAAAGGAACGCACCUCAAAACAAAGCCAUUUUCGAAUAUGAUAAUACUUAGCGCUGGAAACCAUAGACAGGUACAACCUCGACGGAACUGCAAAUCUACCCGGUAGACCUCGGAUUACGACCUUCGACGAACUCGGAACUCGCCGGAAAACUCAAAUUAAACCAAAACUCACCAGAAAAUAGUUGUGGUUAUGUUGCGAUGCUACUGAUUUGGAGUUGUGUUUCCCUGGGGGUUUGACGGAGGAUUUGCGUAAGAAGGUGUGGCUCGCCGGAUUUGAAGAGAAAAUGGAUAUGGUUCUCCCAAAUGGCAAAAGCAAGAGAAGCUCUUAAAUUAAUAUGGUCAAUCUGGACGAUGAGCUCAAAUUCGUAAGCUAUAUUUGGUUUUUUGUGUUCCGAAGUCACGAUCUCUUUUUGGGGGUGACUCUUAAGGGAAUUUAGGAUUUUGGGGUUUUUGGAAGAUAGCAAGUGAAUCCCUCUUCAAAAAUGGAGAUGGCAGUGUUCUAUUUUGGAGUCUUACUCUUCUUUUUGAUUUUUUUGGUUUUUUAAAAAACCUUACGGAAAAAC